GUGAGAUUGUAUUGGUUUCUACUUGUCCUUUUCCCUGCUUUGUCGCAUGAUCAGAUCAUAACCAUUUGAACAACGCAGCCCUGUCUCCCCUGGGUCCAGCCAUGGCCUUGUCUCACCCUCACAACAACCUGGGCAUUGGCUUCAACAAGUACACUUCGCUCAAGGCCGUGGACACGGCUGCGAGAGACUACUACAAGAGCUACCCGAUGGUAGAUUACACCCACCGCCAGUCCCCUCCCACAUUCCAGCCAAUCAACUUCCACCCCAAGGACAAGCCCUUCCUCCCGCCACCCGACAUCCACGCGCCACUGGCCAUCACCAUCAACACCUCCCAGAUCCCCAAGCCGAAGAUCUCCAAGACCAACACCCACCCGCUCACCUCCAGUUCGGCCUUCAAAGCAUGGGACCCCAGUAAGAGCCACAUCCAGCACCCUGUGGCCUCCCACAUUGGCCUCCAGCAGCAACAGCACCACCCCAUCCAGCAGCAGCACCAGUCGCUUCAACAGCAACACCACUCGCUGCAGCAGCAGCACCACUCGCUGCAGCAGCAGCAGCACCAGUCGCUGCAGCAGCAGCAGCACCAGUCGCUGCAGCACCAGCAGCAGCAGCUGCACCAAUCGCUGCAGCAGCACCAGUCGCUGCAGCAGCAGCAGCAGCAGCAGCAGCAGCAGCAGCAGCAGCAGCACCAGUCGCUGCAGCAGCAGCAGCAGCAGCAGCAGCACCAGUCGCUGCAGCAGCAGCAGCAGCAGCAGCACCAGUCGCUGCACCAGCAGAACAGCCGGCGCCAGGCCUACUCCAACAAGAGGCAGUUCAGCAUCGAGACGCUGCCCGAGCUCUUCUCGCAGCCGCUCGUCUACGGCCACUCACCGCACGUGCACCCCAAGCACAAGGGACUGCCCACCAACAGCAAGACAGAGGUCACUGUCUGA
rnacentral:lncRNA from 1 species